rfam:Myotis davidii contig94908, whole genome shotgun sequence.
GGCGGUUCUCAGGUGAUGCACCCCAGAAUCGGGCUCCCUCCUUUCUGGUUCAUGGUGCAUCACCUGAGAACCACA